rnacentral:rRNA from 1 species
AUUGAACGCUGGCGGCAGGCUUAACACAUGCAAGUCGAGCGGGGGAAGGUAGCUUGCUACCGGACCUAGCGGCGGACGGGUGAGUAAUGCUUAGGAAUCUGCCUAUUAGUGGGGGACAACAUCUCGAAAGGGAUGCUAAUACCGCAUACGUCCUACGGGAGAAUGCAGGGGAUCUUCGGACCUUGCGCUAAUAGAUGAGCCUAAGUCGGAUUAGCUAGUUGGUGGGGUAAAGGCCUACCAAGGCGACGAUCUGUAGCGGGUCUGAGAGGAUGAUCCGCCACACUGGGACUGAGACACGGCCCAGACUCCUACGGGAGGCAGCAGUGGGGAAUAUGGGACAAUGGGGGGAACCCUGAUCCAGCCAUGCCGCGUGUGUGAAGAAGGCCUUAUGGUUGUAAAGCACUUUAAGCGAGGAGGAGGCUACUCUAGUUAAUACCUAGGGAUAGUGGACGUUACUCGCAGAAUAAGCACCGGCUAACUCUGUGCCAGCAGCCGCCGUAA